rnacentral:rRNA from 1 species
AAUGAACGUUGGCGGCGUGGAUUAGGCAUGCAAGUCGUACGAGAAUCGCAGCAAUACGAGGAAAGUGGCGGAAGGGAGAGGAUUACGUGGGAAUCUACCCUCAGAACUGGGAUAGCGGCGGGAAACUGCCGGUAAUACCAGAUAAUGUCUGUGGACCAAAGGUGUGAUUCCGUCUGGGGAUGAGCCCACGUCCUAUUAGCUAGUUGGCAGGGUAAUGGCCUACCAAGGCAAUGAUGGGUAGCGGGUGUGAGAGCAUGACCCGCCUCACUGGGACUGAGAACUGCCCAGACACCUACGGGUGGCUGCAGUCGAGAAUCUUCGGCAAUGAGCGCAAGCUUGACCGAGCGACGCCGCGUGCGGGAUGAAGGCCUUCGGGUUGUAAACCGCUGUCGUAGGGGAGCAAGAGAUGAGGGUACUCCCUCUGAUUUGAGCGAUCCUAGGAGGAAGGACGGGCUAAGUUCGUGCCAGCAGCCGCAGUAACAC